AAUGACUAGGAUGUAGUCAGAAGACAUAACCACAGAUAUAUAGUUACACAUUUAAAAGAGUCUAUUAAAGGCCUUUCUGGCUUUGCUCUGAAUUUACAAUAUGAGAAUUUCCAAAGAGUGUAUUUUCUGAAACAACUUUCAUUGCCUUGGGAUAAUUUCUCUUUUUUUUUUUUUCCCCUUUAAUGUGAUUUGUCAUGGUAGAACCUAGACAUUUUUCCAUGUGUGCUUACUUUGUGUUUUCUGUGGCCUGCAAGGAAUUAGUUUUAAUUAACGAGACUGGCAAAUGCAUUGUUGAAACAGUCUUUGUGGUAGACACGCCUUUGUGUUAACAGUUGGGUUAAACAUCCCCUUUAUCAGAGCUAUUAGCACCUAAUAUUACUGUCUGAUUAAAGAUCAUUCAGUGGAUUAUCCAGUCCCAGCGCUUCCGCAUACCCCCAGACAGGUGCUCAAAUAAGGAAUUACGUUAAGUAAAUUAGCACUAGUAUCGCAUCCUUAAUGGCUUUGUCUUGGCUGCGGAAAAGAAAAAGUUACUGGGCUGUUUGGAUGCGUCUUUGUCGCUCUUAAGCAGCAGGUUGCCUUGCACAAGCUCCGUAGAUUUACAUUAGAAAAAAGACCUUUGUUUUGUUGUUCACCUGGUCUUCCUUUUCUCAUCGGUGAGCACCGUGCCUUUCCUCCACGCAGAUUUCUUCUUUGGUGGUGCUAGAGAGAGCUGAUGAGACAGGAAGAAAGUGGCAGGAAUUGCUGGGUCUGACCUUCACUAAUGCUAAGCUUGGAGCUGCACUGAAGCUAUUUUAAACAAGGUCACUUUGGAUAGGAGACUAGAAAAGCAAAUCUGUCUUUUUUGUCACUGCAUUUUUCCCACUGCAUUUCUAAUGUCACCAAUGGUUGAAGUGGAUACGCAUCAAAUGCAAACAGAAUGGACAGGAGAGAAUCAAAUCACCACUUGAAUGAAGUCAGUCUGUGAGCAGUGGAACUCAGAAGAGACUUCUUCAGACUGUUCACCUUACCUGGGAGAUUGCACAAGAUAUAAGAGAAGCGCAAGACUUGGAAGCCUCUGUGGGAGAGAAGACAGGAAUGCCACUCGCUGCAUUUCUCAGCUUAACUUGGCUGGCCGAAUGCUUAACUUGCUGAAGAACAGUGACAGUUACAGACAGGCUGUCUCUUUCCAUGCCCGCUGAUGGGGUGAGCUCUCAGGCACUUAUAUAAUUGCUCCUAGCUGCUGGUGCUAAAUUGUUGGCUUGAAGAGGAUUGUGCAGUCUGAACCUGAUGGCUGACUGCUGCCACAGAAACUUCAGUUUAAUUGCUGAUGGAAUUGGACAUACAUACGAAAAGAAUCGAGUUCGUGUAAUUUAGCCGUAAAGGAAAUACUCUUGCAUUAAAAGAAGGUUCUGAUGUAGCAAAAUUAAGCUAUACGUGUUUGAGUAUAAGCAUAUAUAGCUCAGGUUUUGAAUACCUGAGGGAUGCUUCCCUUUGGAUGUCUAUUACUGAUGACAGUGCAGCAUCAGAAGUGCUAUGCGGGUUCUCUGAGCACGACAAAUAAUGAUGGCUGUAAGUAACGGCCUCCAAAACUGUGUUUCCUGAAAAGCAGCUCACACACACUGCCACUGCAGUCGAACUUCCUUUAUAUGAGACCCUCGUACUCUCCCCGGUUCCUUUCCUUCUGCAUUCCCACCUUCCUGCCCCUUGGCAUUCAUUCACACUGUGUGUUAUUAAAGUUGUCUCUGAAGCUGCCCCAAGGAGUUGUGCACAUUAUUUACAUCACAACAGAG
ensembl:lncRNA